UUCCUAAAUUAGUUUCACUAGGGUAAAUUCCAGUGGGUCAAAGAAUCAGAGGGUUUUGUUUGUUUGGUCUUAAUUUUGUUUUUUAAGUGAUCUAUGAAAGCAAUACAAAAGAACACAGAUCUUCUACAAUCUUGAACUGGGAAUAAAGGAGCCAUUUGACCACACCAAAAUUUAAAAUAUAUGCAUAGGCAAAAUCUAAGCCAUGAAGCAUACUCUGUCCUCACCAGUGUCUUCCAUAUUUCUCUCUGUUGGGGAAUUAAAUACGUAGUUCUUCCUUUCUGCCUUUCCCCUAAGCUACCUCUGUGGGUCCACAAGAGACUUGGUAGUAGAGUGAGAAUGGCUACAUGUGAGAACAAAUGUGGAUUUGCUGGAGCCUGGUAACUGACUCAAGCCUGAAAGAGCCCUGCCUAGUUUGAGAUCUUUCAGACUGGUGAUGCAGCCCUGGAGGAUCUAGGAAGUCAGUAGGCCAGUGUGAAGCUAUUGGUAUUAAAACUAUAUGAGCAUGCUGUUUUUAUGAUGAAAAAUCUGUGUUCUCAUAUGCGCAAAAACAUCAAUAGUCAUGUAUCCAACUUUUUCACUAAGUGAGAUAUUCAUGGGGUUCACCUCUUUCAGAU
rnacentral:lncRNA from 1 species